rnacentral:tRNA from 1 species
GGCCUCGUAGCUCAGUUGGCUAGAGCGUUGGCUGUACUAAAGUUUUCUCCUUGCUGGUGUGGGUUCGAAUCUCACCGAGGCCG